rnacentral:ncRNA from 1 species
GGAAUCCCGUCGGAAAAGAAUUAGCCACUCAUCCGUAGCGAGUCUUGGAGAACUAAGGGUAACGUUAGUUUUUAAGCGUAGACAGCGAGCCAGUGGGCCGUAAGCCAUGUGGUUGAAGGGAUUGAGCCUCGAAAACUUAUGAAAAUGGGAACGCCGAUGGCGUUAUACUUCCAGAAGGCAACACCCCAAUUAUCGAUAGGGCAAGAGGAUUGGGGGCUCCCCGAGGUCUGAGACCA